ACAUUUAAAAAUCCAUUACAAAAGAAAAUUUAGAAUAUGAUGGUUCAAGAUUUCAAGUCAAAAUAUUAAAAAAUCCCAAAAAUUAUGUGUAAAGAUAGCCAACUGACGUUCUAACGACCUCUUUACACCUAAAAUUUAAAGGUACAUUACACACUCUAAAAAUUACCAAAUACCCCCUCCUACAUCAACUAUAAAGUCUCCACUUCCUCUAAUUAAGUAAACUUCCAUUCACAAUUAACCUUUCAGCAGCACCGCCAUUGAAGGAAAUUUAUCUAACGUUUCUGACUGUACAUCAACUUCUUAAAUUUCCGAUCAGGAAGACUGCACACAAAAUAACAGUGACAGUGUAAGGAGCCGGAGUUGGAGGAAGCCCAUGAAGAAAGUGCUUGAAGGAAGCGAAAAAAACAUAUACGGAUCUUCAAAGCCUUUGAUAUUCCAGUAUGAUGCUGUUAGUUACUCUCUGAAUUUUGAUGAAGGAAAUCGAGAUGAUGAAUAUUAUUCAUAUGGAUCUCGAUGAUAUCAAGGUUUAGGAUAACAUUGCUUGUAAGAUCGAUUAACUGAUGUAGCAUCAUCAUGUACAGAGAGAUAGUAUGUGUUAAUAAUUCUAGUGAGUUCAAUUUUAUGAAGUUUGCAAAGCCCGAAAUCUUUUGGUGUUUAACAAGAGAAGAUGUGCCCCUUCGAAGACGACGGAUGACACUCAACUUGCUGCAUGUGAUUAAUUGGCUUAAACAAAAAUUAAAGUUUAAAUUGUUAUCUUGGGUUGAAUGGUGUACAAAGUAGCCGGAAUUGGAGGAAGCUCAUGAAGAAGGUGAUCGAAGGAAGCAAAAAAAGCAUAUAUGGAUCUUCGAAGCCUUUUAUAUUCCAGUAUGAUGCUGUUAGUUACUCUCUGAAUUUUGAUGAAGGAAAUCAAGAUGAUGAAUAUUAUUCAUAUGGAUCUCGAUGAUCUCAAGUGUUAGGAUAAUAUUGCUUGUAAGAUAGAUUUAACUAAAUUAGCAUCAUCAUGUACAGAGCUCGUAUACGUUUGUAAUUCACGUAAGAUCAAUUUUAUUAAGGCGAAUGAAUUUAUAUUUUCAUUGGCGGAUCUGCAUGCAGACGAUGAAUUUAAGAGAGAUUUAUCAUAUGGACAGUGGAUUUGAAUUUAUUGAUUUGUUGAUUUACUCUGCAAAUUUGUAUAUAGUCUGCUGCUAUUUCAUCAGAAGUACACAACAUCUCAAUCAUUGAAUUUACAAAAGUCUUUCAA